GUCUUUGAAUCAUUUCUGCUCCUGGGCCUAUAAACAUGGUGAGAGCAGCCCUCCAGCGCUUCUGGGCUACAGCCGUUUGUUCCAUACCUAGGCACCUGAAAUAUGCCGGGCAGAUCUGUCUCCCUCUGAAGAUUUCCAGCACGGGUCUGCCCUGCUGCUUUGGUUUUGAGCCAUUUGGAAGAGGAAAACCAACAAUAAAAACAAUGCUAGCUUGAAAUGGCCUUUUGUCCUUCUCAGGCAUAAGGAUUGUAGCUGAUGGGAAGAGCUUCAAACACAGGGAGCGCAGAGGACAUUUCAUGGGCUGCACGAGAAAAGGCACCGAGACAAGAAAAACAUGGCAUGCAUAGACAAAUCCAGCCUGUGCAAUUGAAACGUGAAUGGAGAGAGAAGAAGGAGUGUGGAGGGAUGAGUGGGGGAUGCCAUUUACAUGAGUCAAUGCAGAUCCCUAGGGCGUUUACGCAGCCAGUGACACACUCAGAUAUUUCCUUAACGGCUCUUCCAUAUCUCUGGGUUUAUCAUUUGGACCCUGAGAAAGCAGAGGGGACAUGGAAAAUUUAUUCUCCCACUAACCAGAUCAAAGUUUACGGUGGUGACUUUCAGCUGCUUUCAUUGUAAUUGCAGCUUAGCGGAUUUUCCUCCUCCGCCUAAACAGAACACUGGAGUAGGACCAUAUUUACUUCUACCGGUGAACUCCCACCACCCAUCUUAGAACAUGGUUACUCAGUGGGAAUCUGGGAAGUGAAUAAAUGAGCAAUGCAUGGUGGUGAUUAAACAGUAGAUAAAUUCAAGCCAAGGAUGGGUUUUGUAAAGUAGGUGUGUUUACUGAGGAUUCUUUUGUGUGAUACAGGAGCAUGCAGACUUUACAUGUAUCACCUUCACAAGUAUCUUCUGAAUACUGUGUUGUGUAAGAAUAUGUCUCAUACCUUUCCCCAUUUUUCAGAGGUCAAAGAGAAGCUUUGAAAGGUUAAGUGCUGGCCUGGAUCAUGAAGCUGUCAUUUAAUAACUCUCUAGCAUUGUUAAUGAGCCAAAAUGCUAUGGACGGAAUAAACCUUUCCCAG